AAGUCGUAACAAGGUUUCCGUAGGUGAACCUGCGGAAGGAUCAUUAAUGAAUAACCGGCGUCUUCGGACCCAACCCUCAUUAUCCUUCUACCUGUGAACUGUCAUAGCGUGUAUACAGUGUCUUCGGACAUUGUAGAAUGCUAAUCUAAUUUAAACAACGUCAAAAGAAUGUGAUUUUAAAUCAAAUUGUGUAAUGCAAUAUGAAAACAAAAUACAACUUUUAGCAACGGAUCUCUUGGCUCUC
rnacentral:misc_RNA from 1 species